UACGUAGGGUGCAAGCGUUAAUCGGAAUUACUGGGCGUAAAGCGUGCGCAGGCGGUGAUGUAAGACAGGUGUGAAAUCCCCGGGCUUAACCUGGGAACUGCAUUUGUGACUGCAUCGCUGGAGUGCGGCAGAGGGGGGAUGGAAUUCCGCGUGUAGCAGUGAAAUGCGUAGAUAUGCGGAGGAACACCGAUGGCGAAGGCAAUCCCCUGGGCCGAUACUGACGCUGAGGAGCGAAAGCGUGGGGAGCGAACAGG
rnacentral:rRNA from 1 species